ensembl:lncRNA
AUUGUAGCAUCAUCAUAUAGUUGGGCAGCACCACUGGGUUGGAAGGGUCCUUACAGAUCACUGAACCACAGUGCCAUUGUGUUGGAAGGGUCCUUACAGCACCAUUAGGUUGGAAGGGUCCUUACAGAUCACUGAACCACAGCAUGGUUGGGUUGAAAGGGUCCUUACAGCAUCAUUGGGUUAGAAGGGUCCUUACAGAUCACUGAACCACAGCAUGGUUGGGUUGGAAGGGUCCUUACAGCACUGUUGAGUUGGAAGGGUCCUUACAGCUCCAUUGGGUUGGAAGGGUCCUUACAGAUCACUGAACCACAGUGCCAUUGGGUCAGAAGGGUCCUUACAGAUCACUGG